UACGGGGGGGAGCAAGCGUUGUUCGGAUUUACUGGGCGUAAAGGGCGCGUAGGCGGCGUGACAAGUCACUUGUGAAAUCUCCGGGCUUAACCCGGAACGGUCAAGUGAUACUGUCGGGCUAGAGUACAGAAGGGGCAACUGGAAUUCUCGGUGUAGCGGUGAAAUGCGUAGAUAUCGAGAGGAACACCUGCGGCGAAGGCGGGUUGCUGGGCUGAUACUGACGCUGAGGCGCGAAAGCCAGGGGAGCGAACAGG
rnacentral:rRNA from 1 species